UUCACUCCACCCUGUUCCGUUAAAAGUGAAAGUAAACAUUGCGUAUAGUUUACUGCAAGGUCACAACAAGGAGAGAGAGAGAAAAUAUACAGAAGCGGCGAAAGUAUGGACGACAUACAUAGAAAAUCUGCAAGUGAACAUUCAGACCAGGAACAUCUCAGGAAACAGAUGGAAAGUCAGGAAGAGAUGAAAGGACUGAUACAACAGAUUGCUAGAGAAAGUUCAAACAUUGAUCUCAGGAUUGUGCUGUUGGGUAAAACUGGAACAGGAAAGAGUUCAGCAGGAAACACCAUCAUCGGCGACUGUGUUUAAGAGUGGACACGCAGGGAAGAGAGGUUUGAAUGUGAUGACUUUGAGAACACAUGGAACCGGGGGACUGACACCGCUGAACUUCUGUGGUGGUG